rfam:Oryza barthii chromosome 11, whole genome shotgun sequence.
UUUAAGUGCAACCAUAAGUUUUUGCGCAAAACUUUGACCGUCCGUCUUAUUUGAAUUUUUUUAUAAUUAGUAUUUUUAUUGUUAUGAGAUGAUAAAACAUGAAUAAUACUUUGUGUUUUUAAUUAUUUUUUUAAAAAAAUUUAAAUAAGACGGACGGUUAAAGUUAUAAACAGAAAAUCAUGGCUGGACUUAAA